AUUAGCAGUUUGAUCCACCAGCCACUCCUUGGAAACCCUAUUGAGCAGUUCUGCUGUGUCCUAUAGAGUCACUAUGAGUUGGAAUUGACUCAACAGCAAUGGGUUUAGGUUUCGGGUUAUAUUCGAAAGACAGAAAUGUUUCCAGUAAACAUUGGCUUGAAAGACAGAAAUGUUUCUAAUACUUAUGUUUUCCAUUAAAUGUUGACAACUCCCUAAUUAUCAAAUGACUCAUUCUUUUUAAAAUCCUUAUCAUCAGAUCUUGUGUCUGAUUGUGUCUUUCAGAAUGGAAACUGGAGAACUGGAAGAGGCUCGAUGUCAAUCAGGUUGACAUUGCACCACUGAUGACUUCCCUUAUUGGAGUUCCCUUUCCCCUUAAUUCAGUGGGGACCCUUCCUGUGGAUUAUCUUAACAACACUGAUCUUUUCAAAGCAGAGAGCAUGUUUACAAAUACAGUCCAGAUUCUUGAACAGUUCAAGGUAUAAGAAAGUCUCUCACAAAUGGAAAACUACUGCAAUUUAAAAAAAAUCAACUAUGUUAAGUGGAAAUAAUUUAUGUUUUAAUAAAUUAUUAUUUUUAAUGAUUU